rnacentral:rRNA from 1 species
UACGUAGGGGGCUAGCGUUGUCCGGAAUCAUUGGGCGUAAAGAGCGCGUAGGCGGCCAGAUAAGUCCGGUGUGAAAGUCACAGGCUCAACCUGUGAAUGCCGCUGGAAACUGUCUGGCUAGAGUCCGGGAGGGGCGAGUGGAAUUCCUGGUGUAGCGGUGAAAUGCGCAGAUAUCAGGAGGGACACCGGUGGCGAAGGCGGGUCUCUGGGCAGUAACUGACGCUGAGGAGCGAAAGCGUGGGGAGCGAACAGG